rnacentral:rRNA from 1 species
GUUGUAUGGUUAAGUGACUAAGCGUACACGGUGGAUGCCUGGGCAGUCAGAGGCGAUGAAGGACGUACUAACUUGCGAUAAGCGCAGAUAAGGCAGUAAGAGCCGUUUGAGUCUGCGAUUUCCGAAUGGGGAAACCCAACUGCAUAAGCAGUUACUGUUAACUGAAUACAUAGGUUAACAGAGCAAACCGGGGGAACUGAAACAUCUAAGUACCCCGAGGAGAAGAAAUCAACCGAGAUUCCGGUAGUAGCGGCGAGCGAACCUGGAUUAGCCCUUAAGCACUCGGUGAAGUAGGUGAACAAGCUGGAAAGCUUGGCGAUACAGGGUGAUAGCCCCGUAACCGACGCUUCAUCGAGCGUGAAAUCGAGUAGGGCGGGACACGUGAUAUCCUGUCUGAAUAUGGGGGGACCAUCCUCCAAGGCUAAAUACUCCUGACUGACCGAUAGUGAACCAGUACCGUGAGGGAAAGGCGAAAAGAACCCCUGUGAGGGGAGUGAAAUAGAACCUGAAACCGUGUACGUACAAGCAGUAGGAGCACCUUCGUGGUGUGACUGCGUACCUUUUGUAUAAUGGGUCAGCGACUUAUAUUCAGUGGCAAGGUUAACCGUAUAGGGGAGCCGUAGCGAAAGCGAGUCUUAACUGGGCGCUCAGUCUCUGGAUAUAGACCCGAAACCGGGUGAUCUAGCCAUGGGCAGGUUGAAGGUUGAGUAACAUCAACUGGAGGACCGAACCGACUAAUGUUGAAAAAUUAGCGGAUGACUUGUGGCUAGGGGUGAAAGGCCAAUCAAACUCGGAGAUAGCUGGUUCUCCCCGAAAGCUAUUUAGGUAGCGCCUCGGACGAAUACUACUGGGGGUAGAGCACUGUUAAGGCUAGGGGGUCAUCCCGACUUACCAACCCUUUGCAAACUCCGAAUACCAGUAAGUACUAUCCGGGAGACACACGGCGGGUGCUAACGUCCGUCGUGGAGAGGGAAACAACCCAGACCGCCAGCUAAGGUCCCAAAGUAUUGCUAAGUGGGAAACGAUGUGGGAAGGCUCAGACAGCUAGGAUGUUGGCUUAGAAGCAGCCAUCAUUUAAAGAAAGCGUAAUAGCUCACUAGUCGAGUCGGCCUGCGCGGAAGAUGUAACGGGGCUAAGCAAUACACCGAAGCUGCGGCAAUAUCUUUUAGAUAUUGGGUAGGGGAGCGUUCUGUAAGCCGUUGAAGGUGAAUCGUAAGGUUUGCUGGAGGUAUCAGAAGUGCGAAUGCUGACAUGAGUAACGACAAAGGGGGUGAAAAACCUCCUCGCCGGAAGACCAAGGGUUCCUGUCCAACGUUAAUCGGGGCAGGGUGAGUCGACCCCUAAGGUGAGGCCGAAAGGCGUAAUCGAUGGGAAACGGGUUAAUAUUCCCGUACUUCUGACUAUUGCGAUGGGGGGACGGAGAAGGCUAGGUGGGCCAGGCGACGGUUGUCCUGGUUCAAGUGCGUAGGCUUGAGAGUUAGGUAAAUCCGGCUCUCUCUAAGGCUGAGACACGACGUCGAGCUGCUACGGCAGUGAAGUCAUUGAUGCCAUGCUUCCAGGAAAAGCCUCUAAGCUUCAGAUAGUCAGGAAUCGUACCCCAAACCGACACAGGUGGUCGGGUAGAGAAUACCAAGGCGCUUGAGAGAACUCGGGUGAAGGAACUAGGCAAAAUGGUACCGUAACUUCGGGAGAAGGUACGCUCUUGAUGGUGAAGUCCCUCGCGGAUGGAGCUGACGAGAGUCGCAGAUACCAGGUGGCUGCAACUGUUUAUUAAAAACACAGCACUGUGCAAAAUCGCAAGAUGACGUAUACGGUGUGACGCCUGCCCGGUGCCGGAAGGUUAAUUGAUGGGGUUAGCGCAAGCGAAGCUCUUGAUCGAAGCCCCGGUAAACGGCGGCCGUAACUAUAACGGUCCUAAGGUAGCGAAAUUCCUUGUCGGGUAAGUUCCGACCUGCACGAAUGGCGUAAUGAUGGCCACGCUGUCUCCACCCGAGACUCAGUGAAAUUGAAAUCGCUGUGAAGAUGCAGUGUACCCGCGGCUAGACGGAAAGACCCCGUGAACCUUUACUACAGCUUGGCACUGAACAUUGAACCUACAUGUGUAGGAUAGGUGGGAGGCUAUGAAGACGUGACGCCAGUUGCGUUGGAGCCGUCCUUGAAAUACCACCCUUGUAUGUUUGAUGUUCUAACUUAGACCCAUUAUCUGGGUUGAGGACAGUGCCUGGUGGGUAGUUUGACUGGGGCGGUCUCCUCCCAAAGAGUAACGGAGGAGCACGAAGGUGGGCUAAUCACGGUUGGACAUCGUGAGGUUAGUGCAAUGGCAUAAGCCCGCUUAACUGCGAGAAUGACGGUUCGAGCAGGUGCGAAAGCAGGUCAUAGUGAUCCGGUGGUUCUGUAUGGAAGGGCCAUCGCUCAACGGAUAAAAGGUACUCCGGGGAUAACAGGCUGAUACCGCCCAAGAGUUCAUAUCGACGGCGGUGUUUGGCACCUCGAUGUCGGCUCAUCACAUCCUGGGGCUGAAGUCGGUCCCAAGGGUAUGGCUGUUCGCCAUUUAAAGUGGUACGCGAGCUGGGUUUAGAACGUCGUGAGACAGUUCGGUCCCUAUCUGCCGUGGGCGUUGGAAGAUUGAAGGGGGCUGCUCCUAGUACGAGAGGACCGGAGUGGACGAACCUCUGGUGUUCGGGUUGUGUCGCCAGACGCAUUGCCCGGUAGCUAAGUUCGGAAUUGAUAAGCGCUGAAAGCAUCUAAGCGCGAAGCGAGCCCUGAGAUGAGUCUUCCCUGA